AUUGAACGCUGGCGGCAUGCCUUACACAUGCAAGUCGAACGGUAACAGGUCUUCGGAUGCUGACGAGUGGCGAACGGGUGAGUAAUACAUCGGAACGUGCCCGAUCGUGGGGGAUAACGAAGCGAAAGCUUUGCCAAUACCGCAUAAGAUCUACGGAUGAAAGCAGGGGACCUCAAGGCCUUGCGCGAACGGAGCGGCCGAUGGCAGAUUAGGUAGUUGGUGGGAUAAAAGCUUACCAAGCCGACGAUCUGUAGCUGGUCUGAGAGGACGACCAGCCACACUGGGACUGAGACACGGCCCAGACUCCUACGGGAGGCAGCAGUGGGGAAUUUUGGACAAUGGGCGAAAGCCUGAUCCAGCCAUGCCGCGUGCAGGAUGAAGGCCUUCGGGUUGUAAACUGCUUUUGUACGGAACGAAAAGACUCUUUCUAAUAAAGAGGGUCCAUGACGGUACCGUAAGAAUAAGCACCGGCUAACUACGUGCCAGCCGCCGCCGUAACAC
rnacentral:rRNA from 1 species